rnacentral:rRNA from 1 species
AUUGACUUUUGCCCUCACAUACGCUUGUCUAGUCAGGUAGAGAGGCAAGACUUUUAAACCCUCCCAGUCAGCGGUUUGUUCUAAAUAAGUAUUGACAAAUAAAUUAGCGAAAUCUCCUCUCCCCCUAGCGGUUAAAUCCAUGGCUGUAAAAGCAAUAUCAUACAUGACAUCAACGAAGCGAAAAGAUUCAUUAAAUUCUAUGCGAUCAAAUAAUUGUAUUUCUCCCUGCCACUGACAGAUAUUAUUUAAAUGUAAGUCUCCGUGACAUUCGCGAAUCAUCCCUUUUAUUUGUCUUUCUUCUAACCAAUCUCCGUGUUCUGCGAAGAAUUUAUCUGUGUAAGCUUUCGUUUCAUCGUAUUGUUUUUGGGUUUGGACAAAAUUAAUAUAUUUCUCGGUUUGUUGGUAGUUUUCAUCAAAAGCUUGUUUAAUAACUUCUAAAUUGCCAAAUUGAGUAAUAUAGGAAUUAGUCACAGCUUGUCGAUGAAAUCCUGCCACUUUUUCAGCCAAAUAUUUUAUAGCUUUUUCCGUUAGUUCUCCCCGUUCAAAAACUUUACUCAGUAAACAUUCUUGGGGAAACUGAUUCAUUUUUAAAAUGUAUUCGAUCGCUUUCCCAGUCACGAUAGGCUCCGCUUCGUCUAAAUUUCCCAGUCUUUUGUCACUGUCCCACGACCCCAAGUUCCGAAGAACUUGGUUUAGGCUGUUCCCUUUUCGCUGUUUCCCAGUCACGAUAGUUGUCGGAUGAGCUGUGGUUAGGAGCGAAAGACUAAUCAAACCCUGUGAUAGCUGGUUCUUUCCGAAAUAUAUUUGGGUAUAGCGUCGGAUGCUGAUUCGCGGAGGUAGAGCACUAAAUAAGCUAGGGCCCCUACCGGGGUACUGAACUUAAUUAAACUCCGAAUACCGCGAAGUGAAGUCCGGCAGUCAGACUGUGGGGGAUAACCUUCAUAGUCGAGAGGAGAAUAAUCCAGACCAUCAGUUAAGGUCCCAAAAUAUGGCUCAGUGAAAAAGGAUGUGAUUUUGCUUAGACAAUGGGGAUGUUGGCUUAGAGGCAGCCAUCAUUUAAACAGUGCGUAACAGCUGACCCAUCGAGCGAAAUUGCGCCGAAAAUGAUCGGGACUUAAGCCAUAUACCGAAGCUGUGGACCCUGCGCAAGCAGGGUGGUAGGAAAGCGUUCCAGAUGCAGCGAAGCAGAAGGGUAACCAACUGUGGAGCGUCUGGAAGUGAGAAUGCAGACAUAAGUAACGAUAAAGCCGGUUAAAUUCCGGCUCGCCUUAAUUCCAAGGAUUCCUGGGCAAGGCUCGUCCUCCCAGGGUUAGUCGGGUGCUAAGAUGAGGCCGUAAGGAGUAAUCGAUGCCAAUCUGGUUAAUAUUCCAGAACCGACGUACAACUAUCCAUCCGGUGACGGAUCGUAUCAGCCAACAGACCUGUUUCGACAAGGCACUGCGAAGCUACGGCUUAGCGGGUGUUGGUAAUAACGGUUCCAAGAAAAGCUGGAUGGCCACUAUGUACGCCGCCCGUACCGUAAACCGACACAGGUGGAAUAGAUGAGUAUUCUAAGGCGCGCGAGUUAAAUCUCUCUAAGGAACUCGGCAAAUUGACCCCGUAUCUUCGGUAUAAGGGGUGCCCCGCGAGGGGCCGCAGAUAAGAGCGUCAACCGACUGUUUAGCAAAAACACAGCUCUCUGCUAAGUCGCAAGACGACGUAUAGGGAGUGACACGUGACCAAUGCGGAAAGGUGAAAGCGUGAGGUGCAAGCUUCGCGUCUAAGCCCCCGUGAAUGUCGGCCGUAACUAUAACGGUCCUAAGGUAGCGAAAUUCCUUGUCGGGUAAGUUCCGACCCGCACGAAUCGUGUAACGAGUUGACGACUGUCUCGGAGAGAGGCUCGGUGAAAUUGUAGUGGCGGUGAAGAUGCCGCCUACCCGCAGCAGGACGGAAAGACCCUAUGCACCUUUACUGUAAGCUGUUAUUGUCGCUUGACUUUCAAUACGUAGAAUAGGUGGGAGACUUCGAA